rnacentral:rRNA from 1 species
GUCUACGGCCAUGUCACCUUGAACAAGCCCUAUCCCAUCUGAUCUCAGAAGCUAAGCAGGCUCAGGCCUGGUACUUGGAUGGGAGAGACCACUUAAGAAGACCAGGUGCUAUAGGCG